rnacentral:rRNA from 1 species
GAUGAACGCUAGCGGGAGGCUUAACACAUGCAAGUCGAGGGGCAGCACGAGGUAGCAAUACUUUGGUGGCGACCGGCGCACGGGUGAGUAACGCGUAUGCAACCUACCCUGUACAGGGGGAUAACCCGGAGAAAUUCGGACUAAUACCCCAUAAAGAUAUUUUGAGGCAUCUUAAGAUAUUUAAAGUUCCGGCGGUACGGGAUGGGCAUGCGUAACAUUAGCUAGUUGGUAAGGUAACGGCUUACCAAGGCAACGAUGUUUAGGGGCCCUGAGAGAGUGAUCCCCCACACUGGUACUGAGACACGGACCAGACUCCUACGGGAGGCAGCAGUGAGGAAUAUUGGUCAAUGGGCGCAAGCCUGAACCAGCCAUCCCGCGUGAAGGAAGAAUGCGCUAUGCGUUGUAAACUUCUUUUCCAGGGGAAUAAAAUUUUGUACGAGUACGGAAUUGAAGGUACCCUGGGAAUAAGCAUCGGCUAACUCCGUGCCAGCAGCCGCCGUAACAC